GUUGACCUCGGAUCAGGUAGGGAUACCCGCUGAACUUAAGCAUAUCAAUAAGCGGAGGAAAAGAAACCAACAGGGAUUGCCCUAGUAACGGCGAGUGAAGCGGCAACAGCUCAAAUUUGAAAUCUGGCGCAAGCCCGAGUUGUAAUUUGUAGAGGAUGCUUCUAGGUAGCGACCGGUCUAAGUUCCUUGGAACAGGACGUCAUAGAGGGUGAGAAUCCCGUAUGUGACCGGCCCGCACCUUCUACGUAGCUCCUUCGAAGAGUCGAGUUGUUUGGGAAUGCAGCUCUAAAUGGGAGGUAAAUUUCUUCUAAAGCUAAAUACCGGCCAGAGACCGAUAGCGCACAAGUAGAGUGAUCGAAAGAUGAAAAGCACUUUGGAAAGAGAGUUAAAAAGCACGUGAAAUUGUUGAAAGGGAAGCGCUUACAACCAGACUUCUGGGCGGUGUUCCGCCGGUCUUUUGACCGGUCUACUCUCCGUCCCGAGGCCAACAUCAUCUGGGACCGCUGGAUAAGACCUUAGGAAUGUAGCUUCCCUCGGGAAGUGUUAUAGCCUCUGGUGAUGCAGCGCGUCUCGGGUGAGGUCCGCGCUUCGGCAAGGAUGUUGGCGUAAUGGUUGUCAGCGGCCCGUCUUGAAACACGGACCAAGGAGUCUAACAUCUAUGCGAGUGUUCGGGUGUCAAACCCCUACGCGUAAUGAAAGUGAACGGAGGUGGGAAGCGCAAGCUGCACCAUCGACCGAUCCUGAUGUCCUCGGAUGGAUUUGAGUAAGAGCAUAGCUGUUGGGACCCGAAAGAUGGUGAACUAUGCCUGAAUAGGGUGAAGCCGGAGGAAACUCUGGUGGAGGCUCGCAGCGGUUCUGACGUGCAAAUCGAUCGUCAAAUUUGGGUAUAGGGGCGAAAGACUAAUCGAACCAUCUAGUAGCUGGUUCCUGCC
rnacentral:rRNA from 1 species